GAUGAACGCUCGCGGGAGGCCUAACACAUGCAAGCCGAGCGGUAGAGUUUCUUCGGAAACUUGAUAGCGGCGCACGGGUGCGUAACACGUGUGCAACCUACCUUUAUCUGGGGGAUAGCCUUUCGAAAGGAAGAUUAAUACCCCAUAAUAUAAUGAUUGGCAUCAAUUAUUAUUGAAAACUCCGGUGGAUAGAGAUGGGCACGCGCAAGAUUAGAUAGUUGGUGAGGUAACGGCUCACCAAGUCAAUGAUCUUUAGGGGUCCUGAGAGGGAGAUCCCCCACACUGGUACUGCGACCCGGACCAGACUCCUACGGGAGGCAGCAGUGAGGAAUACUGGACAAUGGGUGAGAGCCUGAUCCAGCCAUCCCGCGUGAAGGAGGACGGUCCUAUGGAUUGUAAACUUCUGUUGUACAGGGAUAAACCUACCCUCGUGAGGGUAGCUGAAGGUACUGGACGAAUAAGCACCGGCUAACUCCGUG
rnacentral:rRNA from 1 species